UACGUAGGGUGCAGGCGUUAAUCGGAAUUACUGGGCGUAAGGCGUGCGCAGGCGGUUUGUUAAGACAGAUGUGAAAUCCCCGGGCUUAACCUGGGAACUGCGUUUGUAACUGGCAAGCUAGAGUGUGGCAGAGGGGGGUGGAAUUCCACGUGUAGCAGUGAAAUGCGUAGAUAUGUGGAGGAAUACCGAUGGCGAAGGCAGCCCCCUGGGAUAACACUGACGCUCAUGCACGAAAGCGUGGGGAGCAAACAGG
rnacentral:rRNA from 1 species